UAGGGAAUCUUCGGCAAUGGGGGCAACCCUGACCGAGCAACGCCGCGUGAGUGAAGAAGGUUUUCGGAUCGUAAAGCUCUGUUGUAAGUCAAGAACGAGUGUGAGAGUGGAAAGUUCACACUGUGACGGUAGCUUACCAGAAAGGGACGGCUAACUACGUGCCAGCAGCCGCGGUAAUACGUAGGUCCCGAGCGUUGUCCGGAUUUAUUGGGCGUAAAGCGAGCGCAGGCGGUUUGAUAAGUCUGAAGUUAAAGGCUGUGGCUCAACCAUAGUUCGCUUUGGAAACUGUCAAACUUGAGUGCAGAAGGGGAGAGUGGAAUUCCAUGUGUAGCGGUGAAAUGCGUAGAUAUAUGGAGGAACACCGGUGGCGAAAGCGGCUCUCUGGUCUGUAACUGACGCUGAGGCUCGAAAGCGUGGGGAGCGAACAGGAUUAGAUACCCUGGUAGUCCACGCCGUNNCGAUGAGUGCUAGGUGUUGGAUCCUUUCCGGGAUUCAGUGCCGCAGCUAACGCAUUAAGCACUCCGCCUGGGGAGUACNACCGCAAGGNUG
rnacentral:rRNA from 1 species